rnacentral:rRNA from 1 species
CCUACGGGAGGCAGCAGUCGAGAAUUUUUGACAAUGGGGGAAACCCUGAUCGAGCGACGCCGCGUGGAGGACGACGGCCUUCGGGUUGUAAACCUCUUUCGCCAGGGACGAAGCGCAAGUGACGGUACCUGGAGAAGAAGCACCGGCCAACUACGUGCCAGCAGCCGCGGUAAU